AUUGAACGCUGGCGGCAGGCCUAACACAUGCAAGUCGAACGAGUGGCGGACUGGUGAGUAAUUUCUGGGAAACUGCCCGAUCGAUGGGGAUAACUUCUGGAAACGAUAUCUCCUACCGCAUACCAUCGGCUUUUCACAGUUGGUAUUAGCUAGUCGGUGGGGUCACGUCUCACCUAGGCCACGAUCCCUAACUGGUCUGAGAGGAUGACCAGCCACACUGGAACUGAGCAACGGUCCAGACUCCUACGGGAGGCAGCAGUGGGGAAUAUUGCACUAUGGGGGGAAGCCUGAUACAGCCAUGCCGCGUGUAUGAAGAAGGGCUUCGGGUUGUAAAGUAAUUUCAUCUAGGAGGAGUUACUCGAAGAAGAAGCACCGGCUAACUCCGUGCCAGCAGCCGCGGUAAUAC
rnacentral:rRNA from 1 species